GAAUAAAAGUGGAGGCUGUGGGGAUCACAAGGCAUAGUUCCUAAGGCCUGCAUUCCAGCACUCAGGAGUGUAGGCCCUGAGCAGCCUGGGCUACAUAAUGAGACUCCUUCUCAACACUGAAACUGAAUCCUACACAUUAUUGAAGAAUGAGCCCUUUAGCACUUCUACGUGUAGGAAGUGGAACAUGUUAGAAAAUAAAGACUAAUGCCCUCAUUCAUAGUUCUUGUCUGUCUAGUGGGGUUUUUGGCCUUAACCACAGUUAGUUGAAUCGAACGCUUUCUGAGGUAUGUAGACCCUUUUCUCCCUUGCGAUAGAGAACGAGGUGAUGAUCUUUGUACAUAUUAGCUUCUAUCUGCAGAUAUCUAUUAAAGGUUCAUCCCUGGGUUGGAGUUGCUACUUUCUAGUAUAUGUACAUUUACAAAAGGCCAAUGUUACUAGCUUUUGGUUCUUUCUCCAAUGUUACAUAGUGCCCCUAUCCAAUCAUUUUUCUGACACUUUUUUGUUUGUUAAAGCUUUGAUUUCGCUAGUCUGUUAGGUAAAAAGUGUUAUGACAGUUUAAUUUGCAUUUUUCCUGCUGUAUGUAACUUGCAUCUAAUGCCAUAUUUUCCUAUUUUCAAAUAUUACAUUUUCUGUGGAGUGUCUCAGUACCAUUUUCUGUUGAAUGAUUGCUUUCCUGAUGGCUAUGUAAGACUUAUAAUCCUCUCGAACUGUGUUUAUACCAGUUUUCUCUUUUUUAUGCCUGGUUUGGAUUUGUAGACUUAAGCAAUUCAUGAUUGGAAGGUAUCUGUCUUGGUGUUAAUGCUUGUAAAUCAUUUUCCCCCAUUCCAAUAUAUUUUCCAAAAUCCC
rnacentral:lncRNA from 1 species